AUCAUUUCCGUGUCCUGAUUUUGAGGAACUGAGGGAAGUUCAAGGAAGAUGCUCUGACUUUCUACAUAGGGACAAUUUAUCCUCAGAAAAGAGUUUCCAAGGAGAAACCCAGGAACAGUAGAAGUUGCCCUACCCGGAUUCCAGGAAGUCCUUCUCGCAGUCCAGGACCCACGUGACUCCGACGUCACAAGCAAAUCCCAUCCGGCUUCUGGUCACCACGCGUGAAUCUUCCCCAAAAGUUGGACUGGAGUCCUGUGCUGCUGAAGGUUCCCGUAGCGUCUCUGACUUAGAGGAAAUGCUGUCCUUCCGGGAUGUGGCCAUUGAUUUCUCUCCAGAAGAGAGGGAAUGC